AGUCAGAAAUCAUAGUUACUAACCAAUACCUUUUGUUUACAAUAAUACCAUCUCUCACUCUUUGCCUAGGUUAGCCGAUUGUGCACUUCAGUAUGUGGUGUUUAAUUUGUGGUUUGCAUAGGCACAUAUCGGUGCAAUGUGAAAUACUAUUUACAGAUGGUGGCAGGCGAGUUAACAGGCGUUAGCGAGUCCACCGUUUCCCGAAUUAUCAGACGUAUCUCUGUCGGUUUAGCGCAACAUACUCUACAUCUGAUACGGUUUCCCACGGGCGAUGAAUUUCGAUUGAACAAGCUACGAUUUUAACACUUUCCCGGUGUUACAGGAGUGACUGCACCCACAUAAAAAUCAAAAGCCCCGGCGGUGCUCGGGGGGAAGUAUACAGCUUAUUCGAAGAUGGGCGUGUGCAGGGACUGCUGCUGGGAGACAGUGGUUACCCACAGUUGCCAUACCUGUUCACGUACAGAUGCAGAGCAGAGGCCAACAAUGAUGUGCCAAUCCCACCAGUUCCUCUCCGACCUGGGCGCGCCAUGGCCAUCAGGAACGAGUUCAUCAUCCGGCAUUUCAAUUAGCUGUUUUGAAAUGAUUUUUACACACAUUGUUUUACGUGGCUUUUUGAAAUCAGUGACCAUGAUCGUACCGUUUAAUAUUAGGUUUGUUUGGCUGGAAUGAAUAUUUUAUGAU